ACGAACGCUGGCGGCGUGCUUAACACAUGCAAGUCGAACGGUGAAGCCCCUUCCUUUUGGUGGGUGUGGAUGAGUGGCGAACGGGUGAGUAACACGUGAGUAACCUGCCCCCUUCUUCUGGAUAACCGCAUGAAAGUGUGGCUAAUACGGGAUAUUCUGGGUCUGUCGCAUGGCGGGCCUGGGAAAGAUAUUGUUUCGGUGGGGGAUGGGCUCGCGGUCUAUCAGCUUGUUGGUGGGGUGAUGGCCUACCAAGGCGGUGACGGGUAGCCGGCCUGAGAGGGUGGACGGUCACACUGGGACUGAGACACGGCCCAGACUCCUACGGGAGGCAGCAGUGGGGAAUAUUGCACAAUGGGCGCAAGCCUGAUGCAGCGACGCCGCGUGAGGGAUGGAGGCCUUCGGGUUGUAAACCUCUUUCGCCAGUGAAGCAGGCCUGUCCCUUGUGUGGGUGGGUUGACGGUAGCUGGAUAAGAAGCGCCGGCUAACUACGUG
rnacentral:rRNA from 1 species